UUACUCACGUCUUCAGAAGAAAGUUUCAACAGAGAUGAUUUUACAACAGCAACGUUAUUGCUUCGAACAUUUUAUAGGAAUUGUUCCCUAUUUCGAUCUCGCUAUUACGUGUUUCAUCGCGAUUGGCGUGUGUUAGAAGGAUUGUCAAGAGAAUCGGUUCAGGUAUGUUAAGGCUAUCCCUUCUUUCUUUUUGGCAUGAUCCAAAUAAUACAAAUGAAACGAGCAAAAUACGCAACUUUCAUAAAUGACUCUAUUCAUAGAAAUACUAGGGGUGUCUAUAUUCUUGAUUUCCCGUGUGAAUUAUUAGUAUAUCUUUUGUUCAUGGGUCUCAGAAAAAUACGUAUUUGAUAAAGUUUAUCCGAAAGGCAUAUUGAUUUUUAUGACAUUCCGAGAAAUCUUAUUAACGUAUUUCUUAUGCAUUUCAUACAUUUAUACAUAUACAUUGACCCAUGACCAGAUGACGUUAUAUACGCGUAUAUUAUAUGUAUAUGGGAUAUGGGAAAAGGUUACGGCGUUAUAUAUGCACCACCACCUGAUCAGCUGGUAUAUGUUGAUGAUUUUGCCCGCAGUGGCCGAGAUGAUAUGAUGGGAUACCCUCAGAGGCUUGAUGAUGUUAUGUACACCUAUACCCAUGCAUAACACGACAUUUAUACGUACGUGCAUGACAUUAUAAAUGUUUCAGGAUUUACAAAGUGAUUUAUACUUACAGGCGAAAUUUCUUAUUCNNNNNNNNNNNNNNNNNNNNNNNNNUGCGGCCUGCGUUCAUGCUCGCAGGUGCAGGUAGACAAGCUGACGACCCCCCUUCUUAGGAUCCUUGAUCAGCGAGAGUUGGCGUGCUCCACUUGAUCCCGAGCUGCUUUUGAUUUUGGUACGAUAUGCAUGUAUACAUAUAUGGGUAUGACAGGGCCCAGUCCCAUCCUUGUACAGUUGUAUAUUCUAUUAGAGGUCUAUAGACAGAAAUGUAUAGUUGGGUAGUAUGUGGCCUUGUCGGCUUCCAGUUUUGGAUAUGUAGUUGUCUAAAGCAGCCUUGUCG
rnacentral:lncRNA from 1 species